UACGGAGGGUGCAAGCGUUAUCCGGAUUUACUGGGUUUAAAGGGUGUGUAGGCGGGCUGUUAAGUCAGUGGUGAAAGCCCGGGGCUCAACCCCGGAAUUGCCUUUGAGACUGCAUCGCUAGAAUUGUGGAGAGGUAAGUGGAAUUCCGAGUGUAGAGGUGAAAUUCGUAGAUAUUCGGAAGAACACCAGUGGCGAAGGCGACUUACUGGACACAUAUUGACGCUGAGGUGCGAAAGCGUGGGGAGCAAACAGG
rnacentral:rRNA from 1 species